GGAGUUAGCCGGUGCUUCUUCUGUGAGUGAUGUCCUUCCUGCCGGCUAUUAACCCGCAGGCCUUCUUCCUCACUGAAAGUGCUUUACAACCCGAAGGCCUUCUUCACACACGCGGCAUGGCUGGAUCAGGGUUGCCCCCCAUUGUCCAAUAUUCCCCACUGCUGCCUCCCGUAGGAGUCUGGGCCGUGUCUCAGUCCCAGUGUGGCUGAUCAUCCUCUCAGACCAGCUACGGAUCGUCGCCUUGGUGAGCCGUUACCUCACCAACCAGCUAAUCCGACAUAGGCUCAUCCGAUAGCGCGAGGCCCGAAGGUCCCCCGCUUUCCCCCGUAGGGCGUAUGCGGUAUUAGCCCUGGGUUUCCCCAGGUUAUCCCCCACUACCGGGCAGAUUCCUAUGCAUUACUCACCCGUCCGCCGCUCGCCACCAGGGAGCAAGCUCCCCGUGCUGCCGCUCGACUUGCAUGUGUUAGGCCUGCCGCCAGCGUUCAAUCUGAGCCAGGAUCAAACUCUGA
rnacentral:rRNA from 1 species